rnacentral:rRNA from 1 species
UGGGGAAUCUUUGGACAAUGGGGGCAACCCUGAUCCAGCCAUGCCGCGUGAGUGAUGAAGGCCUUAGGGUCGUAAAGCUCUUUCGCCUGUGAAGAUAAUGACGGUAGCAGGUAAAGAAACCCCGGCUAACUCCGUGCCAGCAGCCGCGGUAAUACGGAGGGGGUUAGCGUUGUUCGGAAUUACUGGGCGUAAAGCGCACGUAGGCGGACCAGAAAGUUGGGGGUGAAAUCCCGGGGGCUCAACCCCGGAACUGCCUCCAAAACUAUUGGUCUAGAGUUCGAGAGAGGUGAGUGGAAUUCCAAGUGUAGAGGUGAAAUUCGUAGAUAUUUGGAGGAACACCAGUGGCGAAGGCGGCUCACUGGCUCGAUACUGACGCUGAGGUGCGAAAGUGUGGGGAGCAAACAGGAUUAGAUACCCUGGUAGUCCACACCGUAAAACGAUGAAUGCCAGUCGUCGGGUAGCAUGCUAUUCGGUGACACACCUAACGGAUUAAGCAUUCC